CCAAAGUAAGUUAACUAAAACUAGCGGGCUCAUACCCCGUACAUACGCCCAAUUGCGUCUUUGGC
rnacentral:tRNA from 3 species